CUAAUUUGAUAAAAUAUUUUUAUAUUAUCAGGUUACGACGGCAUACAAAAUAUAACAUGAAGUGGAUUACCUUGGUGGUUAUCAUUUAUUUGGUAAGUUCCCCUAAAUUUUAAAAUUACCGUCAUGCUAUUUGAGUUUUAAUCAACAAGAUUUUAGUACUCAGUAUUUAUUUAUAGGUAUUGUAUAAAAGGGUAUCUAAUCCUUGUUUAUGAUCAAUAUUUAUAAAUAUUAUUAGAUUAUAUUUGAAUAUAAUUAUCAUUUCACUAAUAAAAAAAAUAUAAGCUUUAUUAUACUACGAAAUAAUUUAUUACUAUAAAAGUCUGACCGCGACUGCUGGCACUUUUUUAGUCAUAGUAUAAAUAAUUGGUUUAUUCUUAUUUUCAUAAAUUUUUAAAUUUUCUUUCCUGGUAAGAUCUUUU
rnacentral:rRNA from 1 species